GCUGGUGGAGAAAAGUUCUCUUUGCAAAAAUUUGGAGGAACAACGAGCAGUACUUACUCUACAGUGCACCUCACUGAAGAAUCUAGUAGCUGUCAUGAAGGACCUGUUGGCUUUGAGAAACACUGAAGUCGAGCAGCUAUAUAAAAAUAUGAACGAUAUGGAGGAAAGAAUUAAUUUG